rnacentral:rRNA from 1 species
AAAAUAUACUACUACAGGGAUAACUGUAGUAAUUCUAGAGCUAAUACGUGCCUCGACGCCCUGAUCCGCAAGGUGAGGGGUGCACUUAUUAGACUGCAAAUCAAACGAUUCGUCGUUUUUUUGUGGUGACUCUGGAUAACUUUGUAUGAUCGCAGCUGGCCAUUGUGUCGGCGACGGAUCCAUCAAAUAUCUGCCCUAUCAACUGACGAUGGUAGGUGAUAUGCCUACCAUGGUUAUGACGGGUAACGGGGAAUCAGGGUUCGAUUCCGGAGAGGGAGCCUGAGAAACGGCUACCACAUCCAGGGAAGGCAGCAGGCGCGGAAAUUACCCACUCUCUGAACGAGGAGGUAGUGAAGAUAAAUAUCGAUACAGAACUCAUUUGAGGCUCUGUAAUCGAAAUGAGUGCAAUAUAAAUCCUACAACAAGGAUCUAUUGGAGGGCAAGUCUGGUGCCAGCAGCCGCGGUAACUCCAGCUCCAAUAGCGUAUAUUAAAAUUGCUGCAGUUAAAAAGCUCGUAGUUGGAUCUGGGUCGUUAAGUGAUGGUCGAUUUAGUUGUGGUUUGCUAACGCUAAUCAUGGCUGGUUGAUAUAUUCGCUUAUGGCUUCAUAGCUAUGUUCGCUUGACUUCGGUCUUGUGAAUGGUAAUGGAGUCAGUGUUUGCUCCUUCCGGGGGUGAACGCGGUUCAUAUUAUGGUCUGUUGAUUCUCUUACCGGGUGUCCGAACUCAUAGCACGUUUACUUUGAACAAAGUGAGUGCUCAAGCAGGCCGUUGUUGCCUGAAGAUGCUGCAUGAAUAAUGGAAUAAGACCCUC